rnacentral:rRNA from 1 species
CGGGACGGGUGAGUAACGCGUGGGUAACCUGCCUUGUACUGGGGGACGAACAGUUGGAAACGACUGCUAAUACCGCAUAAGCGCACAGCUUCGUAUGAAGCAGUGCGAAAAACUCCGGUGGUACAAGAUGGACCCGCGUCUGAUUAGCUGGUUGGUGAGGUAACGGCCCACCAAGGCGACGAUCAGUAGCCGGCCUGAGAGGGUGAACGGCCACAUUGGGACUGAGACACGGCCCAA